GACAGGGAACCUUACUGGUAAAUAGCGCAAGUCAGUAGCCAGCUUGGGAAUUACCUGGAACAAGGAAGAGCCUGAAAUGGAUGUCCACGAAGAGGCCCGUCGGCUGUCCGAUGAGGUGUCUGCUAUCAGAGGGAAAUGUGUACUUUUUGAGGAGGAGCGUGAUAUUCGCCAGCUUCAGAUAGUUUAAUUCUGUGGAACUGGAGAGGGUAUAAAUGGGAAAGACCUGAGAGGGUCUGUGGUGGCUGCUGCUCCCCCGGCUGCUCCUGGUUGGUGUUGCUGUGGUUUGUCAGAGAUGAGAAGAAAUUGAACUUGACCUAAGGAACUCAAGGCCCUUCAUCAGCAGGAAGGACUCUAAAGAGGUGUGACAACAGGAGCCUUCCUAGGGCUUGCUUCUGCCACCCUGGCUCCAGAGUCCUUGAAAAGCUCUGUCUUAAGGGCAUAAGGAGAACGUGAUAGAGUGGGACAUGCGACAUCUUUUACUCCUGUCACCAAGACCUCCAUCCUCCAUGCAGCCUGGACCGGGGGCUCUUUGUAUUGGUCUUGGGCGAUGCCUGUGAAAGGCUCAUUCGACCUCCCAAGGGACUGAGGAGACUCGUGUUGUUGGAAACCCUUAGGGAUUUUAAUAUUCCCCAAGUGACAGCAAAUGGCCUCCCUGUGUUUCUAGACGGUAUCUGGGACUCCUUCCUAUUGGCAGAAGGGCCACGAAAGAGUGACGUGAAUUUGGAGCAGAUGGUGCCUUCGUCCGUUGCUGAACUCUGCUUGCGGCCCAAAGGAAGACUUGAUACUGAAGGUGCUAUAAUGGCUUUCUGCUCAGUUUGUUGUAAAUUCUAAAUGGGGUGAUUGAAGGCUGUAACGAGCAGUGUUGUUGGACCGCCUCUGGCUGCAACAUCUGGUGAAUGCCUUCACUAGCUGACAACUGUUAGUCUUUGCCUCAAGGGAGUACCACCCAGACCUUUGGCUUUAAGUAGGUUGCAGAUUAGGCUGCUAGAAGCAAGUUCAUGUAUCACAAAGAAGAGGAAGAAAUACCACCACAACUUUGUUUCUAGUAUUAACAAUACAAUCGGUUAAGGUAGACCUUGCCUUGCGUGUGCUGUUAUGGAAGCACUUGAAAGUCAGAUUUUUAUUACAGGUUUUUAGUUCAGGAAUUUAAAUUGAUAUUCUAAGCCUUGUGUAGCCUCUCUCAGAGACAAAUCCAAAUUGCUAACAGCACCAGGGAAAUCUAGAAAAAUUGGCUUACUGUCCCAUAUUAGUGAGGCUGACGUUGCAGCAGAGCCAGUUUGCUUGCUGGAGAUGACGGAUCACAGGAGGAGAGUGUGGCCCACGGCACUGAAAGCUCCAUUAGCCAGUAAUUUAAAAGCACUACAAUUUAAGAAACAGGAAUAAUAGAAAUAAGAUAUCUAGAGUAAAUGUUCCUGUCACGAAGGUUAUGCUAAGUCCUCACAGACUAGACUCUGGGUGAUUAGUAUGUUUAAAAUAAGAAUAGAAAUAAGAUUCUAGAUUAAAAAAAAAAAGGUAUUACAGGCUAAAAACAUUUAAAUAGCAUUCUUUAUCAGUUUUUAUCAUCAUUAAAACAACAUUUUAAAUC
rnacentral:lncRNA from 1 species